rnacentral:misc_RNA from 1 species
AUGAUUGCGAAUGGUUACCUUCCGUGCUGGCUUGCGCAAGCAAGCAACGUGCACGUUGGUGGCUUUCAUCCACACCACACUUGUGAACCUUUGGCCUCUUGCUAGCUUCGGCUGGUGGGAGGAUUUUUACACACACACUGGAAUGUAAUGAAAAGAUUUGUUGUGCGCAAGCACUAAUGUA